rnacentral:lncRNA from 1 species
UGUUCAAAAAAUGUUUUGCUCAAAAUUUUCAAAGCUGAAUGUCCGUAGUUACUACCGAUAUUGAUUUAAAUGAUAUUUGAAGUUUAGUCAUUUUUAUUUUAUAUCUUAUUUAUUUAUUAUUAUCUAAUAUUAUUUAUAUCUCAAAACAAUUGUGUUAACAUUAUUUUUGAAAAAUUGCUUAACCAAAUUGUUCUUUAAAACCAUUUACUGCAUAUCUAUAAGAAUACCAUAAAGUUUUGUAGGUAAAAUAUUGAAAAACUUAAACUACAGAUCAUCAUCAGAUGUGACGUCAACAUCUUGCACAUUCGGAGAUUUGAACAUAAUAUAUUAUGCACUAAUAUGCAGUGCUUCCACUGGCAGGUGUUCUAAUUUCUUUCUUUUGCUUGUGAUCAGUGGAUCACUACUAAUCAACAAAAAGUGGAAUACAUCUUAAUUUGUUUUGCAUCUACUACACUUUCUUGAAUUAUUAUGCUUGAAUUAUGCAAAUAACGAAAAAUUAGAAUAGAGUGUUAUUCAAUUUAAUUAGGUCAACAUAACCUCACAAAAAAUAAAAUUAUGAAAAUAGGAGCAAAUAUGAGCAAAAAGUUAAAAUGACUUUUUAAAGAAUAAUACUCAAGCUUUCAAAAUAAAACAAAAUUAAAGUUGGAUCAGUCUGGGAACACUAACAAAUCACUUGCUCUUUUUGAAAAAUGCAUAUUUUGAUAUUUUGUACAGGUAAUUUUAAACAAUAUAUUAUAAGAGACUAUAUUUACUUAAUUAUUAUAUCACAUCUGUAAUAAUAUUGUCACUUUCCUGAAGAUCAAAUAUCCGUAGCCAAUUUUACUAGUAAAUUAACUUUUGACUUGAAAUAAGUGGAUCAAACGUAAGUCGAAUCACGUUAUCGCGGC